CGCCUCUUGAAAAAUAUAAGAGGUCCAGCCUGCCCAGUGACCUAGUUCAACGGCCGCGGUAUCCUAACCGUGCGAAGGUAGCGUAAUCACUUGUUCUUUAAAUAAGGACUAGUAUGAAUGGCACCACGAGGGUUUAACUGUCUCCUUUUUCUAAUCAGUGAAACUAAUCUCCCCGUGAAGAAGCUGGGAUUUUUUUAUAAGACGAGAAGACCCUAUGGAGCUUUAAACUAUUUUACACCUGCUGCCCACAAACCAACUUCCAGAAAUUAACCCUAAAGCAUAGCACUUUGAUUAAUAGUUUUUGAUUGGGGUGAUCGCGGAGUAAAAAAUAACCUCCACGACGAUAAGGAUUCUUCCUGAGCCAUAAGCCACAACUUUAAGCACUAAUAUAAUUAACGGCUAUUGACCCAAUAAUUUUGAUCAACGAACCAAGUUACCCUAGGGAUAACAGCGCAAUCCACUUCAAGAGCUCCUAUCGACAAGUGGGUUUACGACCUCGAUGUUGGAUCAGGGUAUCCUAGUGGUGCAGCCGCUACUAACGGUUCGUUUGUUCAACGAUUAAAACCCUA
rnacentral:rRNA from 1 species